rnacentral:lncRNA from 1 species
AGAAUAGUCCCAUACAUUGUAUGUUUAGUUUCACAAUAGUGUCAAAAUUGAUUUAAUCUUCUGACAAACCAAUUUUGGUGAAAAUGCAGGGUUUUUUGGUUAUCAUAAUUUUGCAUCUAAGGUGAGGACAGGCUAUAUCUCAUCUAUUGUGGGACUUCUAGACGCAUACCCCCUCAUGUGUAGGACGAUACAUGUACGAUAGGGGUGGUGAAAUAAUGAAUCGUAGUCUCCAACACCGUCUUAAAAUUUCAGCUGAGCUUAACUCAAUCGAACAAAAUCAACUUGUAAGGUGAUGAUAGGUAAUGACAUCAAACACAUUAGAAGUUAGAUUACCCAUGGAAGAACUUUUUUUAUUGUUGCUUUCUUUAGAAAUUUUGGAAGAACUUAGUUCAGAAAAUUGAAUUGAGCUAUUCAAGCUAGUUCUUUGCUUUAUGAAGAAGAGUAUAAAAGACUGAGCUGAGCCUGAUUUGCAAAAGCAUAAUCAACAAGUACACUUGACUCAUUUUCUACUUUAAUUAACUAUGAUGCAACAUUUUUCCUGAUAUAGCAGCAGCUAGUGCUGCUCUGAAGUUAAGAUCCUUGGUCAAUGAAGUAACCAUCUGUUCCACCAAAAUCUGAAGUACUUCCAUUUUGGGAUUAUUAUCAUAUUCUCACUUCUCAGUAGUCUCGUAGCUGCACGCUGCUGUUAGAUUUUCUCCACUGAUAUCCAUCUUUCACAAUCUAAAAUUUAACACAAAAUGUAAAAACAAAAUCACUCACAAAAAUCAUACCUAAAUGGCUUUUCAAAUUAAUUAAGAGAAUGAAUCUUGCAAGGCUUGAAUCAGAUGCUUCUGCUUGAAAUAAACUCUUGAGACUUUUUAGCCUUUAUGCAGGUUUCUAAUCCCUUGGUUUCUUGCAUGACUGAUCUUCAUCACUUGAGCUGCUUUCAGAGUUGUUAUCAUUAACUCCCCCUUCCAUUAGAUUACUGUUACUGCUUAUUUCAUCAGAUUUCCUGUCUUCAUUCCUGUCAACUUCUUGUUUUCUGCACUUCACUGAAAUAUUGUUUCCAUUAAUUUAAAUUUUUACUGAUACACUGAACAUUAAAGUAAUGGGCUCAUCAACAACAACAGUUCAGGAUAUCAAAUUCUGAUGUUUCUCUUCCCACCCCCCAAAUUUCUCUUUUCGCGUAGAAAAUUUCGAAAAACAUUUUCCGAAAAUUUCUGCAUGUUUUGCGCGAGAAGAUAAAUUUGGGGGUGGGAAGAGAAAACAUCUCAAGUUCCUUCUUUCUUAUUCAGAACAUAAAAUAUUGCAUAUUACAGUCACAACUCAUUUUCAAAGACAAUUGAAAUUCCUAAA